AGCAGUAGCCACGGUAAUACGUAGGUCCCGAGCGUCGUCCGGAUUUAUUGGGCGUAAAGGGAGCGCAGGCGGUUUAGUAAGUCUGGAGUUAAAGGCAUUGGCUCAACCAAUGUAUGCUUUGGAAACUGUUUGACUUGAGUGCAGAAGGGGAGAGUGGAAUUCCAUGUGUAGCGGAGAAAUGCGUAGAUAUAUGGAGGAACACCGGUGGCGAAAGCGGCUCUCUGGUCUGUCACUGACGCUGAGGCUCGAAAGCGUGGGUAGCGAACAGGAUUAGAUACCCCAGUAGUCCCUGUCUCUUAUACA
rnacentral:rRNA from 1 species